rnacentral:rRNA from 1 species
GCACAACGCGAAGAACCUUACCAAGGCUUGACAUAUACGGUCUAUCCCUAGAGAUAGGGAGUGCUUCGGCGCCGUAUACAGGUGGUGCAUGGUUGUCGUCAGCUCGUGUCGUGAGAUGUUGGGUUAAGUCCCGCAACGAGCGCAACCCUCGUCCUAUGUUGCCAGCGGGUAAUGCCGGGGACUCAUAGGAGACUGCCGGGGUCAACUCGGAGGAAGGUGGGGAUGACGUCAAAUCAUCAUGCCCCUUAUGUCUUGGGCUUCACGCAUGCUACAAUGGCCGGUACAGAGGGCUGCGAUACCGUAAGGUGGAGCGAAUCCCAAAAAGCCGGUCUCAGUUCGGAUUGAGGUCUGCAACUCGACCUCAUGAAGUCGGAGUCGCUAGUAAUCGCAGAUCAGCAACGCUGCGGUGAAUACGUUCCCGGGUCUUGUACACACCG